GCCGCCUGUAUCCGGCUGUGCCCCUGUUGCAGCUCUGUAGCUGUCUGUCUCUCCAACUACACUUGUGCCACAGUCCACAGCCAUCUAUCUCCAUGACUGUGCUUGUGCUAUAGCUCCACAGCUGCCUCUCUCUGAUCAUGCCUUUGUUGCAGUCCUAUGCCGCCAUUUGUAUCUCGACUGCAUUCAUCUUGCGAUCCACAACUAUCUGUCUCCCAGCUGUCUCUAUACCGCUCCUCCAGUCUGCAGCUGUUUGUCUCCCAGCUG
rnacentral:lncRNA from 1 species